rnacentral:rRNA from 1 species
GAUGAACGCUGGCGGCGUGCCUAAUACAUGCGAGUCGAGCGAACAGAUGAGGAGCUUGCUCCUCUGACGUUAGCGGCGGACGGGUGAGUAACACGUGGAUAACCUACCUAUAAGACUGGGAUAACUUCGGGAAACCGGAGCUAAUACCGGAUAAUAUAUUGAACCGCAUGGUUCAAUAGUGAAAGACGGUUUUGCUGUCACUUAUAGAUGGAUCCGCGCCGCAUUAGCUAGUUGGUAAGGUAACGGCUUACCAAGGCAACGAUGCGUAGCCGACCUGAGAGGGUGGUCGGCCACACUGGAACUGAGACGCGGUCCAGACUCCUACGGGAGGCAGCAGUAGGGAAUCUUCCGCAAUGGGCGAAAGCCUGACGGAGCAACGCCGCGUGAGUGAUGAAGGUCUUCGGAUCGUAAAACUCUGUUAUUAGGGAAGAACAAAUGUGUAAGUAACUAUGCACGUCUUGACGGUACCUAAUCAGAAAGCCACGGCUAACUACGUG